rnacentral:rRNA from 1 species
UUGAACGCUGGCGGCAGGCCUAACACAUGCAAGUCGAGCGGAUGAAGGGAGCUUGCUCCUGGAUUCAGCGGCGGACGGGUGAGUAAUGCCUAGGAAUCUGCCUGGUAGUGGGGGAUAACGUCCGGAAACGGGCGCUAAUACCGCAUACGUCCUGAGGGAGAAAGUGGGGGAUCUUCGGACCUCACGCUAUCAGAUGAGCCUAGGUCGGAUUAGCUAGUUGGUGGGGUAAAGGCCUACCAAGGCGACGAUCCGUAACUGGUCUGAGAGGAUGAUCAGUCACACUGGAACUGAGACACGGUCCAGACUCCUACGGGAGGCAGCAGUGGGGAAUAUUGGACAAUGGGCGAAAGCCUGAUACAGCCAUGCCGCGUGUGUGAAGAAGGUCUUCGGAUUGUAAAGCACUUUAAGUUGGGAGGAAGGGCAGUAAGUUAAUACCUUGCUGUUUUGACGUUACCAACAGAAUAAGCACCGGCUAACUUCGUG